UGCAUGGUUGUCGUCAGCUCGUGCCGUGAGGUGUCGGGUUAAGUCCCAUAACGAGCGCAACCCCUAUUGUUAGUUGCCAUCAGGUCAUGCUGGGGACUCUAACAAAACUGCCCGCGUAAGCGUGGAGGAAGGUGGGGAUGACGUCAAAUCAGCACGGCCCUUACGUCCAGGGCUACACACGUGCUACAAUGGCCGGUACAGAGGGCAGCCACUUGGUGACAAGGAGCAAAUCUCAAAAGCCGGUCUCAGUUCGGAUCGGAGUCUGCAACUCGACUCCGUGAAGUUGGAUUCGCUAGUAAUCGUAGAUCAGCAAUGCUACGGUGAAUACGUUCCCGGGCCUU
rnacentral:rRNA from 1 species